UACGUAGGGUGCAGGCGUUAAUCGGAAUUACUGGGCGUAAAGCGUGCGCAGGCGGUUUGCUAAGACAGGUGUGAAAUCCCCGGGCUUAACCUGGGAACUGCGCUUGUUACUGGCAAGCUGGAGUGUGGCAGAGGGGGGUGGAAUUCCGACGUGUAGCAGUGAAAUGCGUAGAGAUGUGGAGGAACACCGAUGGCGAAGGCAGCCCCCUGGGCUAACACUGACGCUCAUGCACGAAAGCGUGGGUAGCAAACGGG
rnacentral:rRNA from 1 species